rnacentral:misc_RNA from 1 species
GGCGACCCGGGCCGAUUUCAGAAACCAAACAAAAUCUAAAUUACAAAAUACAAAAAUCCAAUACCCGACUUUCCACGCCUUUCUUUUUCCUCUGUUCGAUGAUCCUGAAACAAAACGGCCCGGGUCGCCGGAUUCUUACGUUCCCGGCGGUGUAUCCCUGCGAGAGCAUAGACCCAACGACGUUGCUUGCCUCGCUCACCAAUCUAGCCCUCCACAUUUGUGAGUAUAAAUCCAAAUCUUUCUCUACCAAUGCACGAAACGCGAGCAAAACGAUUCGCAUAGUCAGCAGCAUUCUCCUAUUCCUCGAGGAAAUCCGACACGUUGUCGGUUCGGGCAUACCUGAUUCGGUUGUUCUAAGCUUGUUGGAGCUCCAUUUGACGUUGCAGAAGGUUCGGUACUUGCUAGAAGAUUGUACCCGGGAAGAUGCUCGUCUAUGGAUGUUAAUGAAGUCGGAUUGGGUAGCGAAUCAGUUCCGGGUGCUUUGCCGGGCCUUGUCCGCCGCUAUGGAUGUUUUGCCACCCGGGUUGCUUGAUGUGCCUAGCGAAGCGAAGGAGUUGCUUGAGUUGGUAACGAGUCAAGCACGGAAAUCAAGAUUUGAAGUAGACCCAGAUGAUGAACGGGCAAUCAAAGAUGUUUUCUUGAUCUUGAACCUGUUCGAAAAUGGUGUUUUUCCUGAUAGGAGUGAUAUCAAACGGGUUUUGGAUUACAUUGGGGUCCAACAAUGGAGCGAUUGCAAUAAAGAAGUGAAGUUAUUGGAUGCAGAGAUUGAAUUGGAUUAUUCAAACGAAGAGAAGAGAAGAGAAAUGUCGUUUUUAAGUAGCUUGAUGGGGUUCAUGAGCUAUUCAAGAUGCGUAUUGUUCGAUUCUAUCGAUACCAAAGUCACCCAACAACAGCAGCUUUAUAGUAGAUGCGGCAGCGAGUUGCUUAGCUGCCUUAACGGCGAUGAUUUUCGAUGCCCUAUAUCGCUUGAGGUCAUGAAAGAGCCUGUCACGAUAGAGACAGGGCAUACUUAUGAUCGAUCUUCGAUAUUGAAGUGGUUCAAGUCUGGAACUCCCACUUGUCCAAAAACGGGCAAGAGACUUGGAUCCACAGAAUUAAUCCCAAAUUUAGUGCUUAAGGGGCUAAUUCAACAAUACUGCUUCCGAAAUGGAAUCCCUUUUGCCGAGUGUAGUCACAAGAAUCGUGACAUAACCAGGACGGUUCACCCAGGAAGUUUGGCAUUUGAGGGAGCUGUGGGAUUGGUAGCUGAUUUUCUUUCUGAUAAGCUUGCAAAUGGAGAUGGUGAAGAGAGGAAUAAAGCAGCCUAUGAAAUUCGGCUUCUUAGCAAAGCAAGCAUUUUUAAUCGGUCUUGCUUGGUGGAAGCUGGUGUGAUCCCACAUCUAUUGAAGCUGUUGUUGUCUAAAGAAUCUUUGUCUCAAGAGAAUGCCAUUGCAGGUUUAUUGAAUCUUUCGAAGCAUUCGAAAAGCAAAGCUGCGAUUGUUAAGAAUGGAGGACUGGAACCGAUUGUGGAUGUUUUAAAGAAGGGGUUACAGAUGGAGGCUAAGCAGCACGCUGCUGCUACGUUGUUUUACCUUGCUUCGAUAGAGGAGUAUAGGAAAUUGAUUGGAGAGAGUACUGAGGCUAUACCAGCUUUACUACACUUAAUUAGGGAAGGACAUGAUCGUGCCAAGAAGAAUGCAUUGGUUGCGGUAUAUGGAUUGCUUAUGCACCCUGACAACCAUUGGAGGGUUCUUGCAACCGGAGCAGUUCCUACACUUCUUUCUCUUUUGACAUCUUCUGAAAGAGAAGAAUUAGUAACAGAUUCUUUAGCAGUUUUAGCUAGUCUAGCAGAAAAAGCUGACGGUGCUAGGGCAAUUCUGCGAUCUGGAGCCUUGCCUCAAAUUGUGCGGAUUUUAGAUUCCUCCACUUCAAGGGCAGCAAAGGAGCAGUGUGUGGCUUUGUUGUUGGCUUUAUGCAUCAAUGGCGGUACAAAUGUGGUAGCCCUUUUGGUCAAGAGCCCUUCUCUCAUGGGAUCGUUAUAUUCCCAACUGAAUGAAGGCACGUCUCGAGCAAGCAAGAAAGCAAGUUCUGUCAUCAGGAUCCUUCAUGAAUUUUAUGAAAGGAACUCCUCUGGCUCAAAGACCUCAGUUCUCCCUCAAGAACGAUUUAUUCACGUGUGGUAACCCAAGUUUUUUCGGGAAUUCCAUCGUCAUUUCUAUGUUUUCUUGCAAGCAUGCUUCCAUGUAAAUACACCCAAUCUUCUUCCUUUCUUUCGUAUUUGAUUUUCUGAUAUUAGCUUAGUUUUUUGAAAAGCUAAUAUCUACAUUAGCUUCUGUUUUUGGGUGAAGCUAUGUACAAACAAAUCAUCCUGUUGUAAUUCUUUUUCCAGAUAUAUAACAAUAAUACUGUGUUACAUUGUUGUAAAAAUAAUUCAUCAAAAGAUGCAAUAAAAGC